rnacentral:miRNA from 1 species
AAAUAACUGAGAACACAUUUAAGUUACUUGUUUAGUUCUGAGCACCACAGUAUAAAGAGAGUAUCAAUAUGUUGUUGAGCAUAUAAAAAACAAAAAUAUAGUGUUACUAUUUUAGCUGCAAAUAGCUACCUUAAAAGUGAUUUAAUUAUCCUGUUUAUGAA